CAAAACCUCACACUUUGGAGGUGUCGUCUACCGCUUCAAUGAUAAGUUUAGGAUUCUGCCUCAAUGUAUUUCAGUUGUCAUGCAAUAUUUAAACUCACAUAUCUAAGCAACCAUGACUACAAACAUCUCUACUUUGAAUCGGACGCUGCUACAGUCAACGAGAUUGUGCUGAAGAGCAACCCUCUCUGUCCCACAGCUGGGAAGUCUGAAGACUCGCACGCCCCUCUCUUUCUCUGCCGUUUCU